rnacentral:rRNA from 1 species
GACGAACGCUGGCGGCGUGCUUAACACAUGCAAGUCGAACGGUGAAGCCCAGCUUGCUGGGUGGAUCAGUGGCGAACGGGUGAGUAACACGUGAGUAACCUGCCCCCUACUCUGGGAUAAGCCUUGGAAACGAGGUCUAAUACUGGAUAUGACGCAUGACCGCAUGGUCGUGUGUGGAAAGUUUUUCGGUAGGGGAUGGACUCGCGGCCUAUCAGCUUGUUGGUGAGGUAAUGGCUCACCAAGGCGACGACGGGUAGCCGGCCUGAGAGGGUGAUCGGCCACACUGGGACUGAGACACGGCCCAGACUCCUACGGGAGGCAGCAGUGGGGAAUAUUGCACAAUGGGCGAAAGCCUGAUGCAGCGACGCCGCGUGAGGGAUGAAGGCCUUCGGGUUGUAAACCUCUUUCAUCAGGGAAGAAGCGAGAGUGACGGUACCUGAAGAAGAAGCACCGGCUAACUACGUGCCAGCAGCCGCGGUAAAAC